AGUCUUUCUUCGUGGUCACUUGAUAUUUAUCAGGGUAGAUGAUGAUUCUGCCUGAGAGGUGUAGGUCGUUGUGUAAAGUUACUUCUCUUUACACGUUCCAAAAAAAAGACAUCAAAAGUCUAUUGCAUUACUGGUUUUGUGACCGGAGUUAGUUCUCAUUUCGACUGCUGUGGUUUUCGUUUGAUGUAUUCUGCACGGUACGUUAUUUGAAAUAAAUGUUGUUUGUUCUCCGUCCAUCUUCCCGAUACUCUUUGCAUCUAUCUGCUAUC
rnacentral:lncRNA from 1 species